UCUAAACUCUGCAGGACACCGGCCCUCCAGGACCAAGUUUGGUGACCCCUGGUUUAAAGGGUCUGACCGCACGCCACUGCAAAACGUAAAGACAUGGCUUAAGUGUCCAAAUACAAGACCAGUGUAUGAGACAAGAGAAGACUGAUGUGACCUAACAGCACCAUCUAGUGAAUGCCAAAGGUUGGUAGGAGAGAUGUCAUGCCGGAAUAACCCCUCCAGAAUCACUGCCCCGACCCCCAGCGAUUUCAGAUACGGCAGCCGCUCGGACACCCCUGAAUGCGAAAAACAUACACCAUCAUGCUGGUCUUUACUACUGGAAUUUUAUUGCUGUUUACUAGUAUUAGGCCGACUGUACAGUCCAUUCUGUGCUGCUCGCACUCAAUC